AAUUUCCUGUCAGCACAGACAAGUCCAGAGGGGCUCAGAGGCUGUCCAUAACACAGAGCCUGCAUUCUGUCGCAAGCAACAUCAACCAACAGACUUACCAGGCUAAAAAGGCUACACCCCCUUUUUGCUCUGCUAUGUAAAUCCCUACCCAGAAAUGCUGCUUUCAGUUUUCUUUAGUUUUCCACAGAUUAAUUGACUGUGUUCUCUCCCUUGUCUCUUCAGUCCUUUCCCUGAGCCUCUGUUCCUUCCAGCUCCCAACUCUGGCGUACCUGUGCAUGGAUCUUCUCUGCUUUUGAAAUCUGCUGCUUGGAACAGAAUGACCUGGUUGUAGGGAUGAUGCCCCUUCUUCCUUUUGCCUUUGCCCACACUCUGGACUGGAUAGGUGGAUGCUUUUCUGAGGGAAGCUAAGAAACAAUCUUCAAAUUACUGUCAAAAAUCCAGGCAAACCAAGAAGCAUCUUAGUGAAAGAACAAAUUGAGCUUAUCUGGCCUCCAGACAGAUGAGGAAACAGUUGGAAAACAGUUUGCAGAUUUGUCUGGCUAGAGAAGGGUAAAAAGGUCUAUAUAAAAUUGUCAGACACCUGACAAUAACUUUCACCCUGCUGCCGAAAGCACUGAGACACAAACCUAAAUGGAAUAAUAUAGAACAUGGUUCCACUUUCUUGAGUUUUGAUGGAGGUGUGUGGUGAGUCUUUGGUUUGGUUUCAUUUUGCUUUUUAAGAUGAACAUCUUCCUGAGUUCGUGAUGCAGUCCAGUGUGUAAUCUGAAUGUUUUUGACAACACACAGCCAUCCAUAUAAGCAGGUAAUUUUUGAAUUUCAACUUUAGUCCAGCUAGUUAAUAAAGAAGGAAAGGAGGAAGUCA
rnacentral:lncRNA from 1 species